rnacentral:lncRNA from 1 species
AGCUCAACCUCCAGCACCUGUGCAUGAAGCAGCAUAGCGUAAUGCAUAGAGCAUGGACCUAGGAGUCAGAAGGUCAUGGGUUCUAAUUCUGGCUCUGUCAUUUGCAUGCUGUGUGACUUUGGGCAAGUCACUUCACUUCUCUAGGCCUCAGUUCCUCACUUGUAAAAUGGGGAUUGAGACUGUGAGCCCAACAUGGGACAGGGACUGUGUCCAACCCGAUUUGCUUGUAUCCACCCCAGUGCUUAGUACAGUGCCUAUCACAUAGUAAGUGCUUAACAAAUACUUUUAUUAUUAUUACUAACACCUCCAAGGAAGGCACUUAUCUUUGAGGUCCUCUAUUUAUUCUCCCCAGGAUGUUUUUGUCUGCUCUCAGAAGUACAUUCAUCCAUCGUGUCCCUGGCUCUCCCAGCAGUCCCGGGCUCUGCUAUUUUUAUUUCUUGUCACUUAGGGGUUGAGGGCUUGGGCAGCAGAGGUAAAAGCCAAUGGGAGUCAGGGAAAACAGAAAGCCACUGUGGCUCUUUCUUCCAGGGUGAGGUGGACGGGGAAGCCUCUGACUACUCUCAUUCCUCUCACCCGUUCUGUCCCCUUGCUGCGCCUCUGCUUCGGGAGAACCGGAGGCUCAGACCAGGAGAUCGCCCCAAGCAUUCCUUAGUGAAAACCAGAAGUUUGGACUGGUCAGGGAAGAAUCAAUCAAUCCAUGUCAACCUGAGAGUCAGAGGACCUGGGUUCUAAUUCCCGCUCUGCCACUUGUCUUCUGGGAGAACAUGGGCAAUUCACUUUGCCGUGCUUCAGUUACCUCACCCAUAAAAUGGGGAUUAAGGCUGUGAGCUCUGUGGGGGACAUGGACUCUGUCCAAUCUAUCCUGUAUCUAUCCCAGUGCUUGGUACAUAGUAAGUGCUUAGCAAAUACCAUUAAAAAAAAAUCAAUCAAUGGUAUUUAUUGAGUGCUUACUGGGUUCAGAGCACUGUACUAAAUGCUUAAGAGAGUCCAGGGCAGUAAGUAAGCACCAUCCACCAGCCAAUCUCCUGCAUCAGUGACAGGAGUCCAAACAAAUUCCACACCCAAACAUACUGCCAGUAUCCUGACUUCCUCCCGUGGACAGAGAGUGGAGGGUUGGAGGAUGGAGAGAAGAGGCUGAUGCUCCUUAAGGGCCCUCCAUCAAGAUGCCCCCAGUCUCCUUCUUAUUUUAGUCCAGCAUCUACCGGUGCCAG